AUGAACGCUGGCGGCGUGCCUAAUACAUGCAAGUCGAGCGAACAGACGAGGAGCUUGCUCCUCUGACGUUAGCGGCGGACGGGUGAGUAACACGUGGAUAACCUACCUAUAAGACUGGGAUAUCUUCGGGAAACCGGAGCUAAUACCGGAUAAUAUAUUGAACCGCAUGGUUCAAUAGUGAAAGACGGUUUUGCUGUCACUUAUAUAUGGAUCCGCGCCGCAUUAGCUAGUUGGUAAGGUAACGGCUUACCAAGGCAACGAUGCGUAGCCGACCUGAGAGGGUGAUCGGCCACACUGGAACUGAGACACGGUCCAGACUCCUACGGGAGGCAGCAGUAGGGAAUCUUCCGCAAUGGGCGAAAGCUUGACGGAGCAACGCCGCGUGAGUGAUGAAGGUCUUCGGAUCGUAAAACUCUGUUAUUAGGGAAGAACAAAUGUGUAAGUAACUAUGCACGUCUUGACGGUACCUAAUCAGAAAGCCACGGCUAACUACGUG
rnacentral:rRNA from 1 species